AAAUGAAGCGUUCAAUUCUCUUGAACUCCGGUGUAACCAUAUAGGGUACCACAUGCGACAAAUCGUGGAACCUCUGAACAUACUCAGCUAUCUUGGGACCUUCCAUCUUCAGGUGCCAGAAUUCAGUCUCUAACCUCUGGAUUUCAGCGCGAGAACAAUACUUCUUGCGCAUAAGUUCUUUCAACUCAGUCCACGUCAGUGCGUAAGCCGCAGCUUCGCCAAGGGUCUGGACCUGUAGAUUCCACCAGGAUAGGGCUCCAUCCACAAAUAGCCCUGAGAUGUAAGUGACUUGUUGAUCCAGCGCGCAUUUGCUCAUGCGAAGUACGGACUCGGUUUUCUCAGCCCAGCGAACGAAGGAGACAGCACCACCUGUGCCAUCGAAGUUUAUGGGCUUGCAGUCCAAGAAUUGUUUGUAGGUGCACCCAUGAGGAAGAUUUUGGUUGCCGUUAAUGCAUCGGCUGUGGCUGACGUCUUGGCGCCAUCUUCUAAAGAUGUGUACGUUGGUCAGGCCAUAGUAAGCAUACGAUUAUAGUAAUAGUAAUAGCACAUAACAUCUCAUGUUAUCAAUAUAUUACACACAACAUCCCAUGUUAUAAUCAUUAUACACACAACAUCCCAUGUCCCAACAUCCCAUGUCACAAGUAUUAUAUACACAACAUCCCAUGUCCCAACAUCCCAU
rnacentral:lncRNA from 1 species